GUCGAGCGGAUGAAGGGAGCUUGCUCCUGGAUUCAGCGGCGGACGGGUGAGUAAUGCCUAGGAAUCUGCCUGGUAGUGGGGGAUAACGUCCGGAAACGGGCGCUAAUACCGCAUACGUCCUGAGGGAGAAAGUGGGGGAUCUUCGGACCUCACGCUAUCAGAUGAGCCUAGGUCGGAUUAGCUAGUUGGUGGGGUAAAGGCCUACCAAGGCGACGAUCCGUAACUGGUCUGAGAGGAUGAUCAGUCACACUGGAACUGAGACACGGUCCAGACUCCUACGGGAGGCAGCAGUGGGGAAUAUUGGACAAUGGGCGAAAGCCUGAUCCAGCCAUGCCGCGUGUGUGAAGAAGGUCUUCGGAUUGUAAAGCACUUUAAGUUGGGAGGAAGGGCAGUAAGUUAAUACCUUGCUGUUUUGACGUUACCAACAGAAUAAGCACCGGCUAACUUCGUGCCAGCAGCCGCGGUAAUACGAAGGGUGCAAGCGUUAAUCGGAAUUACUGGGCGUAAAGCGCGCGUAGGUGGUUCAGCAAGUUGGAUGUGAAAUCCCCGGGCUCAACCUGGGAACUGCAUCCAAAACUACUGAGCUAGAGUACGGUAGAGGGUGGUGGAAUUUCCUGUGUAGCGGUGAAAUGCGUAGACAUAGGAAGGAACACCAGUGGCGAAGGCGACCACCUGGACUGAUACUGACACUGAGGUGCGAAAGCGUGGGGAGCAAACAGGAUUAGAUAUCCUGGUAGUCCACGCCGUAAACGAUGUCGACUAGCCGUUGGGAUCCUUGAGAUCUUAGUGGCGCAGCUAACG
rnacentral:rRNA from 1 species